AUGCCUUAAACUAAUGAGUAAGGAAAAUAACGAUUCGGGGUGACGCCCGAGUCCUCACUACUCAUGUGAGAUGUAUUUUUGAGCGGGUACAGGUCGUCCUGGGGUGACUUGCCUACUUUGCGAGAUGCCUAGGUGUAUUGAUCUGCCCG